GCCCAACACGCAACAACAGAAAUCUAACUGAUCAAUCAUUUUUUACUUUCUCACAUUCAUAAACACAACUUUGAAUAAUUCCAAUAUUUCUCUUUAAAAAAAGAAAAUCAAAGUGAAUCAAGUAUGUCAUCAGCAAGUUCUCAACUAUCAUGCUUCUCCUCUAUCAAUCACAGAUUGCUUUUCCACACUCAUCUCCACCCUUUUUGGGUUUGUGGAGUGAGCGACACUCUAUCUGGAAUGUAUAUUCACUUACACAUCUUCAUUUGUCAUGGAGUUCAGGUAGUGGUUGUGAGAAAUGAUGGUCGUGGUAUGGAUUUAUCCAAUUUAGAAAACAAGACUACUUUAGGUUAUACUAGAGAUGCAUCACAAUCACAUAACGGAAGCUUAUCAAAUUCAAAUUUAAAGUCAGAAGAACUUGUUCCAGGAAAAGAAAUGAAUGGGUCAGUGCAGGAAAACUCCAUCAGUCAUUCAAAAAAGACAGCCAGAACUCAUGACUUCUGUUUUGGUAUUCCCUUUGGUGGUCUUGUUUUCACCGGGGGCAUUGUUGGUUUUAUUUUCUCAAGAAAUCCUGCGACUUUAAGUAAUGGUGUUCUUUUUGGAGGUGCUUUACUGGCCUUCAGCACCAUUAGCUUGAGGGUCUGGAGACAAGGAAAAUCUAGCUUGCCAUUCAUAGUGGGUCAAUCAGUACUUGCUGCAGUCCUUCUAUGGAAAAACAUGCAGACUUUCUCUCUGACAAGAAAAGUGUUUCCCACUGGCUUUUAUGCUGCCAUCAGUGCUGCAAUGUUUUGCUUCUACUCUUACGUGGUAUUGUCUGGGGGAAAUCCACCACCCAAGAAGCUGAAGGUAUCUGCUGCUGGAGAAUUUUGACGAGAAUCUAGAAAGGUCAGAUUUAAUUCUUAGAAUUACUAGGAAUUUUCACUCCCUGUGCACAGUUGGUUUGCCAGCGAGAAGACCCAUUAAUUUGCGCAAUUUUACAUUGAAAAUGAUGAGGGAGUUUUAAUUGUACUUCAUCUUGAAUAUGUAUUAUUGAUUUUGGGUUAUACUUAGCACUGUAGGAAAUUGUAAUGUAGAGACUUGCUGGUGGAAUUGAGUGUUCAUUUUUCAUGUAAAUUAUGUAUGGAUCAGUUCACAAGUUUCAUGCUGCUUUGACAUUGGAUAUUCUAAUGGAAUAGAAUGUUCGAAUAUUUGUGGGAUUAAAUUAGUGAUUUUGAUUGCCUCAAGGCUUUGAACUAUGGGUAAGAGCACAUCGAGUGAUGUAUAUUUUAGGCGCUCGUCACGACUAGUGAUAAAAACACAGUGCAUGAUGCAUUAACUGUUUAAAUCUUGCCACAAACAAAAACUUAGUAUUUAAGUGAAGAAUUGUAAAGGAAUGAGUCUAUUAUUCACCAAGUUUCAAGUGGUGCA